rnacentral:rRNA from 1 species
GGUGUAGGCGGUUUUAUAAGUCAGAAGUGAAAGCCCCGGGCUCAACCUGGGAAGUGCUUUUGAUACUGUUUAACUUGAGUGUGGGAGAGGUAGCUAGAAUUCCAGGUGUAGUGGUGAAAUACGUAGAUAUCUGGAGGAAUACCGGUGAGGAAGCUGGGUUACUGGCCCAACACUGACGCUCAGACCCGAAAGCGUGGGGAUCAAACA